rnacentral:rRNA from 1 species
GACAGAGGGGGCAAGCGUUGCUCGGAAUUACUGGGCGUAAAGGGCGCGUAGGCGGCCAUCUAAGUCAGACGUGAAAUCCCCCGGCUUAACCUGGGAACUGCGUCUGAUACUGGACGGCUUGAGUAUGGGAGAGGGAUGUAGAAUUCCAGGUGUAGCGGUGAAAUGCGUAGAUAUCUGGAGGAAUACCGGUGGCGAAGGCGGCAUCCUGGACCAUUACUGACGCUGAGGCGCGAAAGCUAGGGGAGCAAACGGG